rnacentral:rRNA from 1 species
GACGAACGCUGGCGGCGUGCCUAAUACAUGCAAGUAGAACGCACAGUUUAUACCGUAGCUUGCUACACCAUAGACUGUGAGUUGCGAACGGGUGAGUAACGCGUAGGUAACCUGCCUGGUAGCGGGGGAUAACUAUUGGAAACGAUAGCUAAUACCGCAUAAUAUUAAUUAUUGCAUGAUAAUUAAUUGAAAGGUGCAUUUGCACCACUACCGGAUGGACCUGCGUUGUAUUAGCUAGUAGGUGAGGUAACGGCUCACCUAGGCGACGAUACAUAGCCGACCUGAGAGGGUGAUCGGCCACACUGGGACUGAGACACGGCCCAGACUCCUACGGGAGGCAGCAGUAGGGAAUCUUCGGCAAUGGACGAAAGUCUGACCGAGCAACGCCGCGUGAGUGAAGAAGGUUUUCGGAUCGUAAAGCUCUGUUGUAAGAGAAGAACGGGUGUGAGAGUGGAAAGUUCACACUGUGACGGUAUCUUACCAGAAAGGGACGGCUAACUACGUG